rnacentral:rRNA from 1 species
UACGUAGGGUGCGAGCGUUAAUCGGAAUUACUGGGCGUAAAGCGUGCGCAGGCGGUUUUGUAAGCCAGAUGUGAAAGCCCCGGGCUUAACCUGGGAAUGGCAUUUGGGACUGCAAGGCUGGAGUGUGGCAGAGGAGACUGGAAUUCCUGGUGUAGCAGUGAAAUGCGUAGAUAUCAGGAGGAACACCGAUGGCGAAGGCAGGUCUCUGGGCUGACACUGACCGCUCAUGCAC